UUUGAGAACCUUUUUUAUCAAAUCGGUUUCGAAAGACGAUUGUUUUUUACUCAUAUUUGCUCAAUUUAGUUUGAAGUCUAUCUAUGAAAAAUACUUUAACUGAGUUAAGUGCUAAAAAAUAAAUCAAAACCUUUUUUUUUAAUCUUUUCACUGCAGCCCGGUACCAAAUAAUCUACUACCCGGUAUUGGGCCCUUUAAAUUUUCCCACGUGAUACUAUUCAGCCAAUCAGGUGUAGGCAUUCCAGGUGGAAAACGUUGCAAAUGCCCGAAAAGCAUGUCCCUGACUCCUUUCAAGGCCAGUUUUAAAUAUUGUUCAGUUGUUUUGAAAGUGUAUAAAAUAAUUUACCGGUAAAUCUUGUAAAAAUCUGAUUGUGGAAGGAUGUCGGAGAAAAGGGAGGAAACACCCCCACACGCAGGAAGGACAGCAGCAACAGAUUCCCCUCUUCACUUAACCAAUAGCAUUCUUCAGUAAAUGCCGCACUAAUCUUCUAGGACCGGUGUCCCCUAACGGCGUCACAAUCUUGGUCCUGAUUGACCUUCUGUCUGAAGUCGAAACCAAAGACAGACGACUGGAAGGCAUCAGCAGCAGGAGCGACAGUAGUGACUAUAUAAAGGGAGGCUCAGCACAGCGGCAGUGAACAGCUGCUGGAAACACCUGGAGAACACAGCUGCUGCUGCUGGUGCUGCUGCUGGUGAAGACGGCUGACUGACAGAAUGGACGUCCUC